GGCAUAGAUAAAUUUUCCUUUGUAGUCAGAUGAACUUUGCUGCAACUCGUGAAGCAUACCAGAAGAAAGGUUGGGUAUGACAAACCCAGAUCAUAUCGAUCAGUGCAAGAGAGAGGGCUUCAUUGAGAGAGUAAAGGAGGAAAAUGGUGAAGGAUGCAACAUUGAUGGUUUUGUGGAAGUGAUCAAAGUUGUUGGAAAUUUUCACUUUGCCCCUGGACAAAGCUUCCAUGGAAUCUUUCAAUAUUUUGCAAGAUCUACUAGGCAUUCAGAAUGACAAUUAUAAUAUGAGCCACAAAAUAAACAAAUUAUCUUUUGGAAAGGAAUUCCCUGGUGUUAUAAAUCCACUUGAUGGUGUCAAGUGGAUGCACACAACUCACUUCUGGAAUUGAUUGAGAUGUUUCAGAUAUGCUUUUAAUUGCUACACCCGCAUCCCUUAAUGGCAGUGUUCUUUAUUGGGAUCCAUGUGUAAAUAUAUAGCUCAGUAAGGUGUGUUUAUAAAACCAAACUUUAUCAAUAAUAUAUAGUGGCGACUACAUGGUA